UUGAAACAUUAAGGAUGUUAGCCUUCUAG
rnacentral:piRNA from 1 species